UACGUAGGGUGCAAGCGUUAAUCGGAUUUACUGGGCGUAAAGGGCGCGUAGGCGGCCACUGCAAGUCAGUUGUGAAAUCUCCGGGCUUAACCCGGAAAGGUCAGCUGAUACUGCAGGGCUAGAGUGCAGAAGGGGCAACUGGAAUUCUCGGUGUAGCGGUGAAAUGCGUAGAUAUCGAGAGGAACACCUGCGGCGAAGGCGGGUUGCUGGGCUGACACUGACGCUGACAGCGCGAAAGCUAGGGGAGCGAACGGG
rnacentral:rRNA from 1 species